rnacentral:lncRNA from 10 species
AGAGAUUGCUUGCAAGUUUUCCUUCACGUUUUAAAAAUAUUGGAGCUGCUUCUUAAAUAUUGCAGCAAACCCUGCAAUUUGCUUUUGAAUCCUACAACGGAGUACUUGGAUGGAUGGGGUGGUUGCAGGAUGCCUUUGAAGGAUACUUGUGAAGGUGGAACCACCGUGGCUUGGAAGCUUCGCAGAUGUCGCUGUCUCCAAGGAUCAAUUGCAAACACAAUGACCUGAUGAGCAGAGAAAUCCCAUCUUAGAAAAAAAGAGAGAGCUGAGUCUACAGAGCCGCUACUUAGGAGUCUGACUUCAUAAUCAAUUGUGAAAUGUGGAAUAUAAUAGAAAUUUAAAUUCUAUCUACAUUAUGUUAGGGUUAAUAAAAAAAAAGGGCAUAUAUGAGUAGUCUUUAAAAAUUCCUUCUCGUGACUCCAGUUAAAUAGGCUGAAAUGAAUUCGUUUAAUAUGCCUUUCCACAUUCUAUGUUAGCCAUUUUAUUCUUUGAAUUAUCACAUACACAACAUUCAAUACUAUUUUUAAAAUAAAUCCUAGAAUCCCACCUCAUACCAUUUGCUGAGAUUUUCCAUUUAAGUUUCUUUGAUGUGGCCUCUGGUAAUGUGGAUGUGCCUGUGUGUGGAUGUGUGUGUAUGUGAGUGUGUGAGAGAGAGAAAUAAGUGUGUACAAGUCACCCUGGAACAGCGGGGUAUUAAAGGAGCCAAACUCUGCAUAGAAAAAAAAAUCCAUGCAUAAAUUUUUACUCCUCAAAACCUGAAUCACUAAUAUCCUACUGCUGACUGGAAGCCUUACUGAUAAUAUAAACAAUAGAUUAAUGUGCAUAUUUUAUGCAUUCAUAACAUAUCUAACAUUUUGUAAUUGUAAAAAUAUUUCUAGGCUACACAAUUCAUCUGUGAGUUUUUAAAAAUUGUUGCAAACCUCCAAAAUUGUUCCAAUGUAUUGAUUGAAAAAAGAAAUCCACAUAUAAGAACCUGUGCAGUUGAAACCUGUGAUAUUAAAG